UGUCCGGAUUUACUGGGUGUAAAGGGUGCGUAGGCGGCUUUGCAAGUCAGAUGUGAAAUCUAUGGGCUCAACCCAUAAACUGCAUUUGAAACUGUAGAGCUUGAGUGAAGUAGAGGCAGGCGGAAUUCCCCGUGUAGCGGUGAAAUGCGUAGAGAUGGGGAGGAACACCAGUGGCGAAGGCGGCCUGCUGGGCUUUAACUGACGCUGAGGCACGAAAGCGUGGGUAGCAAACAGGAUUAGAUACCCUGGUAGUCCACGCUGUAAACGAUGAUUACUAGGUGUGGGGGGU
rnacentral:rRNA from 1 species